AUUGUAGGCUGCAACUCGCCUACAUGAAGUUGGAAUCGCUAGUAAUCGCGAAUCAGAAUGUCGCGGUGAAUACGUUCCCGGGUCUUGUACACACCGCCCGUCACACCACGAGAGUUUACAACACCCGAAGUCAGUGGCCUAACCGUAAGGAGGGAGCUGCCUAAGGUGGGGUAGAUGAUUGGGGUGAAGUCGUAACAAGGUACC
rnacentral:rRNA from 1 species